GCCAUUGCUGCCCAUUGCAGGACGCCCCUAAAGGUCAGCUGUUGCCUUGGAAGCACUGGGCUGGUCGGGGCUGAGACUUUUCCUGGCCAGCCCUCCUUCCUACCCUCCUCCUUCACUACUGACAGACAUGUAUUGCAAUCUGAAUACUCUCCUGGCUUACUCUCCUUCUUUCUCCUCUUUAACUUUUACAGGCAUUUUCCCCAAUGUAUCUCUGCUCAUCUAACUCUAUCUUGGCAUCUGCUUCCUGGUGGAUCUGAACUGACCCAUAAACCAUGGUUACUAGUUAUUUUCCAGCCAAACAGAAAGAGACUUCGUGGCAGUCUUUUUGUGGGGUGUUCAAACACUAAUGAAAAAAGCUUUGAAACCAAGAUGACUUUUUUUGGUGAGUGGAGUGUCUGAGGGAGCUUAUGUGGAGAAAUCAAUAUAACUAUUGCCUCAGUGUUGUCAGAGAAUUUAUUAAAAGGGAUCCCCCAUUCCCCAUUGGUAACUAAUUAUUUUUUUCUAAGAAUGGGAUUCAACAGUUCAAAUUUUAGACCUUGGGUUGUGGUGUGAAGCAACGAAGAGUCAGGUUUUUCGUUUUUGUUUUUGAGACACAAUCUUGCUCUAUUGCCCUGCCUGGAGUGCAGUGGCGCCAUCUCAGCUUACUGCAACCUCUCCCUCCCAGGCUCAAGCAAUUCUAACUCCUAAGCAGCUGGGAUUACAGGUGCCCGCCACCAUGCCCAGCUAAUUUUUUGUAGUUUUAGUAGAGAUGGGGUUUCACCAUGUUGACCAGGCUGGUCUCGAACUCCUGACCUCAGGUGAUCUGCCCGCCUUAGCCUCCCAAAGUGCUGAGAUUACAGGCAUGAGCCACCAUGCCUGGCCAAGAGUCAGCUCUUGACAACCCCAAAAUACCUAUCCUUAGGGCAGAUAGAAGAGAGAGAUUUUUUCACAUGAUAAUGUAUUUAAAUCAGGAUUAGACAAAGAACUUCGUCCUUCCUUGCUGAAAUAUAUAAGUUGUCAUAUUUAAUGGGAAAAAAGGCAGUCUUUUACACUUAUGAGAGAAGUGGAUAACUAAAAAUCUAAAGCUUCUUUCCCUAAAAGUCAUUAACCAGUAUUAUUUUUAUAGAUUGAAUGCCAACUAACCAGACUAUGAAUUAUUAUCAUCUCUAGUGUUGAACUCCAGGCUGUACAAUCUAUACCAAGGAUGAGUCUUGAUUGACACUUUCACAGACAGCAGUUACAGAAUUUUUUAGGAAGGUGACAGGUAAAUCUCAGGGGUCUUCUCAUUCACUUUUUCUUUGGUAUCUUAUCAAGAUGUUUUAAUUCUCUUUUCAAAUAUCUUCAGAUUCUUCUCCCUCUGGUGAAACAGAUGGCAGGUAGGAGGAAAUAUACAGAAUGAACUGUGAAAUUUCUCUUGCCUAAAAUCAUUCACAAAACAUGGGAGAUGAUGAUUCAGUAGAACUACAAUGUGCAGCCACUAAGUUAGUGCCUAUGUAAUCCUAACGUUGUUUGGCUGUUAAGAGCUUCAUGUGAUACCUCUAAAUCUAGAAGGACUCAACCAGAGUAUCAGGACAGACUGAGACUUGGGGGCUUCCAAGAAUUUGGAGUAUAGUGGGAUGCUGGGUUGCCUAGACAGCAUUAGUAAGAUUUUUUUCAUACUUCUUUUUUUUUUUUUUUGAGACAAAGUCUCACUCUGUCGCCCAGGCUGGAGUGCAGUGGCGUGAUCUCCACUCACUGCAAGCUCCAUCUUCCAGGUUCACUCUAUUCUCCUCUCUCAGCCUCCCUAGUAACUGGGACUACAGGCACCCGCCACCAUGCCCUGCUAAUUUCAGGAUCUCCUGAUUUCCUGAUCCGCCCACCUCGACCUCCCAAAGUGCUGGGAUUACAGGCGCAAGCCACCGCGCCCCAUUAGUAAGACUUUUCUUUUCCUAUAG
ensembl:lncRNA